GCGUAAGCUAAAUUGAAGAGCAAUAUAUAUCCGGCUAAUGCCCCUACUCCUAACCAAUACCAAUAUGCAUUUGGGAAGAACCCACGACUUUUCAUAAAUUGAACUCCUAGGGAAUCUGAUGAGUUUGAGUUGCCGGAAUAUGACUCCAACUGUGCCCCAAAAACUCAUUAGCAACAAUUGCAUUCUGCCCAUACAUCAGUGGUGAUACCCAGUAAGCCCAGAUCCACCAUUUCUUUAUGUCCUCUCGUGACAGGACAAAGCCACCCAAUGCCAAAAGUGUAAGAAGUGCAAAUGAACCAAAUGUGUUAGCAACAAUCAUGUUCCUUCCAACUGA
rnacentral:misc_RNA from 1 species